CAGAUGAAAUGGAUCAAGCUCUUCACAACCUGGCGGCAGUGAUUGUUUCCCCCUCCCGCACAGUUGGAGAGGGAACUGAAGGAACCCGUGAUGGCCAAUGUUCUAUCUAUCCACACUCAAUUUAUAUUACCUCCCGUCAGGUUUCAGAGGGGUCCUUUAUACCCGAAGCCGGCGCCGGGGCCAUAAUGGGAGCGUGGUCAUUUGUGUUUGUUUGCUAGGUUGUUUUCCGAGACGGAAAUUAAAGGGGACUUAUUAUACCACCAGGUGUGAGUGUGAUUAGCCUUACAAGCCGUUUCGAAAAUCUGCCUAAUAUGCAGUGGCAGUGCCAGAAAUAAUUUGUUGCAGUUGCUGUAUGAAUUCAAGAGGUUGCUGGUCAAAAAAAGAAACCUUGAUCAAAACACCUGAAUUUGGCAGAGGCACGGCCGGGAAGACAUUUUCGGCACGGGUUGGGGUGGUUGCGGUCCCGUACGAGAGUGUGUGCAUGCCCAACGCUCGGGAACUGGGCACGGUGAGGGGGAGGGGAGGAGAGGAGAGUCCCAGGCUGACUCGCGUUGAUUUGAACGACAGUCCAGUCACGGCCCUGAAAUGUUGACGCUACUCACUGAUUAUGCACUUAAUCUGGUGAUUCAUAUGACAGGAAUGGUCGGUAUGGUGACGGGUACCGCAUUCGGCCAUAGGUUUAGUUGAACUUAUUUAAUACCAUUUUACGGAAAAUGGCAUUAUUUCAAAUAUGUUGUUUGAGUUUGACAAAAAAUCAGGGGUUUCUGAGUAAUUGCUUGGAGUUGCUAUAGCAACGGCAAGCAACCGUUUGGCGCCGCCCCUGCUAAUAUGACAUCACUAGUGGGUGUGUCCACCUAGAUCUGUGCUGGAUAGAUCUAUCUACCAGCCUACCCAGUGGACUGAAGUAAACAUUGCUCAUCUAUCCAGCACAGAUCUAGGUGGACACACCCACUAGUGAUGUCAUAUUAGGCAGAUUUUCGAAACGGCUUGUAAGGCUAAUCACACUCACACCUGGUGGUAUAAUAAGUCCCCUUUAAUUCAGACGUCUUGGUCCACCCUCCUUUUUUGGGGUUUUCUUACUUUGUGAAGGAAAGGGCCCAGUUCUGCCUAAUUGUAUCGUACAUUAUUCCCUGUUUUUACUUAUUCGGUCGUUUGUGUGUGAAUUUGUAACUGUGUGGGAAUGGGUGAAUGUGAGGCAUUCGUUUAUUCAAAGGGCUGUUGAAUGGGAACUGUGCUUAGAAAAGCACUAGCCUAUAGUAAUAAAGUCCAUUCAUCAUCGAGGCAGCUUCUAAUAUUCAUUAAUUUAUAAACAGUAUUUGAUAUUAAAUAUACACCAGUUCUAACGGUGAUUCACUGGUUUUGUAACACAUAAAAUGUAAUGAAAGAUUACAUUUUAUGGAUGUCAGGCUUUUUAUUCUUUGGUAGC
rnacentral:lncRNA from 1 species